rnacentral:lncRNA from 1 species
UUUUCAUGACUUGCCCCUCUGUUUCCUCGGCAUUUACCAUAGGGAUGGUAAAGUAGUAGGCUAAGUUGCUCUGACUGAUGAGUUGGGCCUGUAUUAUGUGGAUGGCGAAUGGGCUUUUAAAUGAUGGGCUGUCAUCGUAUACUUGGCCCUUGAUAGAUGUAGAUAAGCCCAGCGAUCAUCCUUGUGCCCCUUUACCGUCUCGCCGGGUAUUACCUAACCGUUGAGA